AACGAACGCUGGCGGCAUGCCUAACACAUGCAAGUCGAACGAGACCUUCGGGCCUAGUGGCGCACGGGUGCGUAACGCGUGGGAACCUGCCCUUAGGUUCGGAAUAACUCCCCGAAAGGGGUGCUAAUACCGGAUAAUGUCUUCGGACCAAAGAUUUAUCGCCUUUGGAUGGGCCCGCGUUGGAUUAGCUAGUUGGUAGGGUAAAAGCCUACCAAGGCGACGAUCCAUAGCUGGUCUGAGAGGAUGAUCAGCCACACUGGGACUGAGACACGGCCCAGACUCCUACGGGAGGCAGCAGUGGGGAAUAUUGGACAAUGGGCGAAAGCCUGAUCCAGCAAUGCCGCGUGAGUGAUGAAGGCCUUAGGGUUGUAAAGCUCUUUUACCCGAGAUGAUAAUGACAGUACCGGGAGAAUAAGCUCCGGCUAACUCCGUG
rnacentral:rRNA from 1 species